CAGGAAUUGUGAAGGUGUCCCGGCGUGUUUGCCCAGUGAAAGCUCUUUACAGAGGCACCUGGGGCAUCAGAAGACAACUGUGAGUCACUGUCAUCAAGCCAGUAGAUAUGUUUAAAUGAAAGUCACUGUUAAUGCUUAAAUGCAAGGAAGACAUGGCAUACUGGGCGCCUGAUAAACGAAAGAAGCUUUAAAAGAAGGGGGUGAGAAAAGGCCUAAAUCAGUACAAGAGCUUAAGGAGAGACAGUUUCUGAAACAAUGUUUCAUGUUAGCUGAACAUUGCUGGAAAAGCAGUGUGAGAUAUAUACAAGCUAAUUCAGAAAGAGGAGGCUGACAAGAAUCUGGACCUGUUUGAAUCAAUGCUGAAGCUAUUAACAGGAAUGUUGUGAAGAUGAGCUCAUUGAUUUUCACAAAGACUUCAGAUACUAUGGGGGAGCACCACCAUUACCAAGAAAAUUAUGCUUUAUCAUUGAAUCCUUUCAAGAUAAACAUCUUCAUGCAACUUUAUGCAUGACAUUGCGACUUCAGUCAGCAAAAGAACCAACAUGAUACCACAAUCUGCUGUUCUUUCAAAGAUGUGGAACAACGUCCAAUACAAAAGUGCCUCAGCUCUGUGGAUAUUAGCCUUCUUGGAUGGCAGGCAGGUGCUAAACUUGUCUUUUUGGAAACAUUAAUCGUCAAAGGAGAAGAAAAUGCCUAGCAUUGCAUCAGGACUACAGCACUGUUCACACACUUCUAAUGCAGUCCCACACAUCUGGGAUCACUGCAUUUACAAGUGAAAUUUUCCGGCUGCUGCUAGUGAACCUUGUGCACCUCCUUUAAGCCUCCUUAAGCCUUUUUAAACUGUCAGAAAGUGAGGUGGUAGAAUUCUCUUGCAGCUCCUACAUUUUUAGUCCUGUGAAUUCAGAAUCUGCCUCCCCUACAGAGUUUUAACUCAACAAGAGCAUUAUCACCUACAGGUGUUGAAGGGCCUCUUAACUUCCUUCCCCCACCCUCCCACCUCCCCUGUCCCCUGAAAACCACAACAACUCAUUUUUCUAAAGGUCAAAUAUCUCAAGGGAAAAAGUGCAUACACAACUUUUAUAAAUAUACUUAAUGUGUAACGAAAACUUUCCCACAAAUGCAGCAGUAUUCUCCAGGAGAAUUUUAUUAAGGAAAUUGUCCAAUGUGUCAUUCAUUAACAGCAAAUGUCUGUUUUUCAACUUCAUAAUUAGAAGGAAACAAAUUCACUACCUGUAAAUUGGCUUUCUUCAAUUUACAUCAGUGCACAGGCAAAGGUGAGAAAAAGCAGCUGUUGUGGCUUGCAAAAAGUAAAAUGCAAUUUGUUUCUUUGUUUGUCAACCACAAUGUGCUCCAAUUUCCAAAAAAAGGGACAUAACA